AGUUAUUUUAUAUGGCCCCACUAAUUUGCUAGAGAGAGUUUGACAUAAAGCUACACAUUGGUGAUUAUUUCUAAAUUUCCACCUCUUUUGACCAGAGAGGUUUGCUUCACAAUGGAAAGAACGUGCCAGCAAUUUUCUAGAAUCUUGUUUGAUGCUUCCUGGGGCUAAGGAGCUUUGCCCCAGCUUCAAUCGACAUAGUAGACUUUGCAAAGGUAUUACUUACUCUAAGGUAGUGUUAGAGUAGAAAUUAAAAAUAGCAGGGACCUUUUGAAGCUCUCUCAAACAUGUCUCUGCCAGCCUAGGAUAGUUCCCUACAGUGUAUUUUUAGUGCUCCAUACACUCUGCUUUUAAAUGUCAUAAGCGAUGAAAUCUUGGCAGUACCAUUUGGAUACAUCUCUGAAAAAAAUGUUCUAUUUGAUAUCUCAUCUGUGGUUUUGAUUCAGGCUUUAUUUCCUCUAGAAGUAGCACACUACCCAGCAUUUUUGGUCAUUUGCUGAAGGAAGCACGUUUGGAGUUGUUGGAGAUCAAGGCCAAAGCAACCAAGGCUUCAUUGCCAAGAGGUGAGAACAGGAGGAGAACAUUUGCAGAAAAUUCUUUCAGCACCAGGAAGGGAACGCUGGUGCCUCUGUCCCCUGACAUUCAUUGAUGACUUCGUCUGGAGGCAUGGCAUCCGCGUCCUCCAGUGCCUGCCUUACUGUAUUCUCUGACUGCUUUUUGUUUGUUUCCUUGCUAAGGGCCUGCUACACUUAGGUCAAGUAUCAAAGUGUUUAGCCCUGUGUUUUAGUUGACUUUUUUUUUUUUUUUUUGGUCCUUGAGAAAUAGGAUAACCACUGCUGAAUUCCAAUUAGUUUGAAAGGCUUCAAGGCUAAGUGACAUAAAAUACCAGCUCUUAAAUUUUUUUUUUUCUGGCUGUGCCUACAACAUGCAUAAGUUUCCAAGCCAGGGAUGGAACCCAUAUCACAGCAGUGACCAUGCUGGAUCCUUAGCCUGCUGCACCAUCAGGGAACUCCACCGGCUACUUUUUUAAAAACAGAAAGAGGGCACGGGAAAGCUUAGUGGAUUCCUGGGUGCAGGUAAGGCUUUGGCCCGUGAUGUGCCUGAUGCCCCCAGGGGAUAUUAACUGUUCUUCUUUAAUCCCACAGAUGUUUGAGUUCUCUUGUUGUGCUUGUCACAUUUUACUGUAGUUACUGUCAAUAUGUGUUGACAGCCUGGCUUCGCUUCCUAGGAAAGCUUCUGGGAG
rnacentral:lncRNA from 9 species